GAUUCUGGCUCAGAACGAACGCUGGCGGCGCGUUUAAGCAUGCAAGUCGAGCGGCAAGGGCCUUCGGGCCCCUAGAGCGGCGGACGGGUGAGUAACACGUGGACAAUCUGCCCCCCGGCCCGGGAUAGCCCAGGGAAACCUGGAUUAAUACCGGAUGAGACGGGACCCGCGAUGGCGGGAUCCGGGAAAGGCGCUGCGGCGCCGCCGGGGGAUGAGUCUGCGUCCCAUUAGCUAGACGGCGGGGUAACGGCCCACCGUGGCGACGAUGGGUAGCCGGCCUGAGAGGGUGGACGGCCACAUUGGAACUGAGACACGGUCCAGACUCCUACGGGAGGCAGCAGCUAAGAAUCUUCCGCAAUGGGCGAAAGCCUGACGGAGCCGACGCCGCGUGAACGAAGAAGGCCGUGAGGUUGUAAAGUUCUUUUCGGGAGGGGAACAACCGUGGCAGGGAAUGGCCGCGGGAUGACGUGAAUCCCGGAAUAAGCCCCGGCUAACUACGUGCCAGCCGCAGC
rnacentral:rRNA from 1 species